rnacentral:rRNA from 1 species
AGUGAACGCUGGCGGUAGGCCUAACACAUGCGAGUCGAACGGCAGCACAGUAAGAGCUUGCUCUUACGGGUGGCGAGUGGCGGACGGGUGAGGAAUACAUCGGAAUCUACUUUUUCGUGGGGGAUAACGUAGGGAAACUUACGCUAAUACCGCAUACGACCUACGGGUGAAAGCAGGGGAUCUUCGGACCUUGCGCGAUUGAAUGAGCCGAUGUCGGAUUAGCUAGUUGGCGGGUAAAGGCCCACCAAGGCGACGAUCCGUAGCUGGUCUGAGAGGAUGAUCAGCCACACUGGAACUGAGACACGGUCCAGACUCCUACGGGAGGCAGCAGUGGGGAAUAUUGGACAAUGGGCGCAAGCCUGAUCCAGCCAUACCGCGUGGGUGAAGAAGGCCUUCGGGUUGUAAAGCCCUUUUGUUGGGAAAGAAAAGCAGCAGGUUAAUACCCCGCUGUUCUGACGGUACCCAAAGAAUAAGCACCGGCUAACUUCGUG